ensembl:lncRNA
AUCCAGACCUGCUGCCUCCUAAAAGGAAGAGAGAGAGAAAAUACAUGAGUGGAAAACUAAAUGACAGGACAUCGUGACCGUCUGGCCAUUGUUCAACGCUGUGGCGGCGGGUCAUGGGUUCAGAUCCCCAUACUGCAGACGAUGUGUUGUUUCGUGGUUCUGUGGCGCCGGAGUCACGUGCAGAUGAGGGGAAUGGAGAGUGGCGGCGAGGCAGACCCGGCCGAGAUGAUCGACUGGAGCCAAGCCCGGAUUGUGAAGGGAAAACUCAUUUCCACCGCAAAGCAGAUGGCCGGCUGCACGUGCCGCCCGUGGUCACCUUCAACCGUGACCAGAGACCAGACCCCCCCCCCCCACUCGGUCUCGCUUUGAUUUACCCUACGAUUUUAUUCCCUUUAUUUUCCUUGUUUGGUUUAGCUUUCUGACCUUUUCGCUGGCGCUUGCUUUCCUAUUCUCUUCUCGUUCAAUAAAUUCAUGGAUUCUGUGAUUCCA